GACGAACGCUGGCGGCGUGCCUAAUACAUGCAAGUAGAACGCUGAAGGAGGAGCUUGCUUCUCCGGAUGAGUUGCGAACGGGUGAGUAACGCGUAGGUAACCUGCCUGGUAGCGGGGGAUAACUAUUGGAAACGAUAGCUAAUACCGCAUAACAGUAGAUAUUGCAUGAUAUCUGCUUGAAAGGUGCAAUUGCAUCACUACCAGAUGGACCUGCGUUGUAUUAGCUAGUUGGUGAGGUAACGGCUCACCAAGGCGACGAUACAUAGCCGACCUGAGAGGGGGAUCGGCCACACUGGGACUGAGACACGGCCCAGACUCCUACGGGAGGCAGCAGUAGGGAAUCUUCGGCAAUGGACGGAAGUCUGACCGAGCAACGCCGCGUGAGUGAAGAAGGUUUUCGGAUCGUAAAGCUCUGUUGUAAGAGAAGAACGAGUGUGAGAGUGGAAAGUUCACACUGUGACGGUAGCUUACCAGAAAGGGACGGCUAACUACGUG
rnacentral:rRNA from 1 species